CUAUAAGUCGUGGGGCUUCAUUCUCUCAGUCUUUAAGUGGACAGUGCGCAUGCGCUAACUUCCUCUUUUCCGGCUGGAACCAUGGAGGGUGCCGAAGAGAAGAAAAAGAAGGUUCCUGCUGUGCCAGAAACCCUUAAGAAAAAGCGAAGGAAUUUCGCUGAGCUGAAAAUAAAGCGCCUGAGAAAGAAAUGUGCUGAAAAGAUGCUUCGAAAGGCAAGGAGAAAGCUCAUCUAUGAGAAGGCCAAGCACUAUCACAAGGAAUACAGACAAAUGUACAGAACUGAGAUCAGAAUGGCUAGAAUGGCCAGAAAAGCGGGCAACUUCUAUGUACCUGCAGAGCCUAAGUUGGCAUUUGUCAUCAGAAUCAGAGGUAUCAAUGGUGUGAGUCCGAAAGUCCGUAAGGUAUUGCAGCUUCUUCGUCUUCGCCAGAUCUUCAAUGGCACCUUUGUCAAGCUCAAUAAAGCUUCAAUUAAUAUGCUGAGGAUUGUGGAACCAUAUAUUGCAUGGGGGUACCCAAACCUGAAGUCAGUGAAUGAGCUCAUCUACAAGCGUGGUUAUGGCAAAAUCAAUAAGAAGCGAAUUGCCUUAACAGAUAAUGAUUUGAUUGCUCGAUCUCUUGGUAAAUAUGGCAUCAUCUGUAUGGAGGAUCUAAUUCAUGAGAUCUAUACUGUUGGGAAACGCUUCAAGGAAGCAAAUAACUUUUUGUGGCCCUUCAAGUUAUCUUCUCCACGAGGUGGCAUGAAGAAGAAGACCACCCACUUUGUAGAAGGUGGAGAUGCUGGCAACAGGGAGGAUCAGAUCAAUAGGCUUAUUAGAAGGAUGAACUGAGGUGAGAGGCUACAUGCUAGAUAGGUAUAACAAUAAAUGUGGUCUUGAAUUGUUUUCCAUUAAGAAUUGGUUGGGAUUUUCAGUGGGGGGAAUCUUUCUUACAUAGUGAGUUGGUUUAGUUACUCCUUUUGAGGAUUUUUGUGGUUGGAAAGAAGCUGCUCUUGCUAGCAUUUUAUAAUUUGACUUAUAUUCAUUUAAGCUGUUGAAGUUUUUUUGUUAAUAGGUGUUUUUUUUCCCCCUUUCAGGUAUCCUCCAUGCUAUUUUUGUAAUUGGGUCUGUUAAUAAACAGUGAUGCUGGCAA